rnacentral:rRNA from 1 species
UACGAAGGGGGCUAGCGUUGCUCGGAAUUACUGGGCGUAAAGCGCACGUAGGCGGCUUUCUAAGUCGGGGGUGAAAUCCUGGAGCUCAACUCCAGAACUGCCUUCGAUACUGGAGAGCUCGAGUCCGGGAGAGGUGAGUGGAACUGCGAGUGUAGAGGUGAAAUUCGUAGAUAUUCGCAAGAACACCAGUGGCGAAGGCGGCUCACUGGCCCGGUACUGACGCUGAGGUGCGAAGCGUGGGGAGCAAACAGG